CAGCAUUUCAUGAAGAGACUAGUAGCACACCUCUCAGAGGUUCCAAUUUCCUCGUUUAGUAACAGUUGGUGACAUAUCACGACUACAUCCCAAACGAUGGCUCAAUGACAAUCUAAUCAAUGCAUUGUCACGUUUGUGGGAAAUUGAUGCUCAGCUUGUGGGAAAGAAAGUUAAAGCAUUAAAUACCUACUUUUUUGAAAAGCUGGACAAAGAGGGCCCUCAAGCUUUAAGACCAUGAACAAGGAAAUAGCUGAUUAUAGACAUUAACAAGAAAGAAAUUCGUUACUAUGGUCCACAAAUGAUUAUGUGCUCAGACGUUUUUC